rnacentral:sRNA from 1 species
AGUUGGCACUUUCUUAUUACAGAGAAGAAGGACGGAGAAUCAAAAGCCGAAUUGAGAAAAGGAGUUCCAAUUCUCUUGAUUUGAAUGUUCGCUACUGUUUUAA